GCCAUAGCUCAGUUGUAGAGUAUCUGUUUUGCAUGCAUCAGGUCCCAGGUUCAAUCCCUGGCAUCUCCA